GAUGAACGCUGGCGGCGUGCCUAAUACAUGCAAGUCGAGCGAACAGACGAGGAGCUUGCUCCUCUGACGUUAGCGGCGGACGGGUGAGUAACACGUGGAUAACCUACCUAUAAGACUGGGAUAACUUCGGGAAACCGGAGCUAAUACCGGAUAAUAUAUUGAACCGCAUGGUUCAAUAGUGAAAGACGGUUUUGCUGUCACUUAUAGAUGGAUCCGCGCCGCAUUAGCUAGUUGGUAAGGUAAUGGCUUACCAAGGCAACGAUGCGUAGCCGACCUGAGAGGGUGAUCGGCCACACUGGAACUGAGACACGGUCCAGACUCCUACGGGAGGCAGCAGUAGGGAAUCUUCCGCAAUGGGCGAAAGCCUGACGGAGCAACGCCGCGUGAGUGAUGAAGGUCUUCGGAUCGUAAAACUCUGUUAUUAGUGAAGAACAAAUGUGUAAGUAACUAUGCACGUCUUGACGGUACCUAAUCAGAAAGCCACGGCUAACUACGUG
rnacentral:rRNA from 1 species